rnacentral:rRNA from 1 species
UACGUAGGGGGCUAGCGUUGUCCGGAUUUAUUGGGCGUAAAGAGCGUGUAGGCGGCCAGGUAGGUCUGGUGUGAAAACUCGAGGCUUAACCUCGAGAUGUCAUCGGAAACCAUCUGGCUAGAGUCCGGAAGAGGAGAGUGGAAUUCCUGGUGUAGCGGUGAAAUGCGCAGAUACUCAGGAAGAACACCAAUAGGCGAAAGCAGCUGCUCUGGGACGGUACUGACGCUGAAGACGCGGAAAGCGUGGG